CAGAAAAUAGUUUAAAUAAAAUGCUAAUUUUGGGGAUUAGUGAUAGGGGGUCCUUUUUUCUGA
rnacentral:tRNA from 1 species